GGAUGGAAUAAUAUAAAGGAUCUAGAAACACUGGAAGUGCCGGAUCGGGGAAAAUAGGGUCCGGGACCGCAAUGAUUGGAGAGCGGUGACGGUGGCGGCCGAAAUUCUUUUACGGAAUUGUAGAGCCAAAGAAAAAGAUGAAUAAUAAUCGACUAUUGUUGAACGUACCGGCGUGUCAGCGCGCGUAUUGAUAAAAAUAUUGACGGUGAAAC